CAGCCAUGUACAUUUGAAGACUGCUUGGAC
rnacentral:piRNA from 1 species